UCUUUAAAGUCAGUGGGAAUGCAGAACAAUUUUCUCCUUUUACAAAAGUACUGUAGUUCAUUACAAUUUUUUUUAUACCUGAUCAUUUGAUAAGUAGUUUCUGCAGACUAAUGUGUGUUGUCAGUUUGUCUCCAUUAACUUUGGUAAUCACUGAGUAAUUUUUUUAACCAGUUAGCAUGUUCUAAUAAAUAUGUGGGGUGUUUUUUGUUUGUUUGUUUUUUUGGAUGAUGAAAAGUGAUAUAAUCUAAUAAUGGAUUCCUGCUCAUUGUAGUCUGAAUUCAGUUGGCUCAGACCUCCUUUUUUUAAACCAACCACUAGUCUCACUUCUGUUAUAACAUUGUAUGAUGUUUUGUUGAAUGAAACCUCAAGGUAAUUAUUAUUCCAUUAAAUAGUCACAAACGUUAGAAAGGGUUUAUUUUCAUCACAUGCUUACCGAACCUUGUGUACAGUUAAUGAAUGUGUGUUUGAGUAUUUUUUUGUUUUUUCUAACACUGAUGGUGCUGUUUUUAGUUAAAACAGCCAAAAAUAUAUUUAGAUCAUAGCUUUGAGUGGCAUUGAUUGGUGGUUACAAUAAUUUUUUAAGCUCUCCACUGAUCGUUCAGAGCGUUGGAGGUACCUUUCAGCUUAAAGCAGCUCCACUCCAUCACUCAGCGUUUCUCAUCGUGUUCCCGUAAAUCACGGAGUAGAACUUGUGUACUUAUUCAGCUUUUACUCUUCUCCACAAUAUUAACCCUGUCUUAACCAAGCAUAUACACAGUGACUCAUACUCACACCGACUGUUAACUACAAAGCAACAUGUCUUGUCCCUGCAAUUUGGCUUUGAGAUUUUUAACAAAUAAAUGAUUGCCAUCGGUUCGUGUGUGGAUGUGCUUUAUUUUCUGGCAGCGGGCGUCAGUGGUAAAGCAUCUGAGAGAUUUCCAUAGCGAGGUCCAGGCAUUCUGUAGCCUGGAGGCACAAGUCGCACAGCGGACAGUCGCUCUGGAAGCAGCGAGAAACACCCAGACACCCGCAGAGGUUGCAGUGGUGCAUCACCCCCAGGAGAGGCUCGCAGUCGUAGAAGGACGAGCACAGCCACCAGGCGCACCCGUUAAACCCCCUCAGCGUGGACAGGAUGCAGUCCAGU
ensembl:lncRNA